AUUGAACGCUGGCGGCAGGCCUAACACAUGCAAGUCGAGCGGAUGAAGGGAGCUUGCUCCUGGAUUCAGCGGCGGACGGGUGAGUAAUGCCUAGGAAUCUGCCUGGUAGUGGGGGAUAACGUCCGGAAACGGGCGCGAAUACCGCAUACGUCCUGAGGGAGAAAGUGGGGGAUCUUUGGACCUCACGCUAUCAGAUGAGCCUAGGUCGGAUUAGCUAGUUGGUGGGGUAAAGGCCUACCAAGGCGACGAUCCGUAACUGGUCUGAGAGGAUGAUCAGUCACACUGGAACUGAGACACGGUCCAGACUCCUACGGGAGGCAGCAGUGGGGAAUAUUGGACAAUGGGCGAAAGCCUGAUCCAGCCAUGCCGCGUGUGUGAAGAAGGUCUUCGGAUUGUAAAGCACUUUAAGUUGGGAGGAAGGGCAGUAAGUUAAUACCUUGCUGUUUUGACGUUACCAACAGAAUAAGCACCGGCUAACUUCGUG
rnacentral:rRNA from 1 species